UACGUAGGGUGCAAGCGUUGUCCGGAAUUAUUGGGCGUAAAGAGCUCGUAGGCGGUCUGUUGCGUCGGCUGUGAAAACCCGAGGCUCAACCCCGGAGGGUCAGCCGAUACUGGCAGACUAGAGUACGGAAGAGGUAGCUGGAAUUCCUGGUGUAGCGGUGAAAUGCGCAGAUAUCAGGAGGAACACCGAUGGCGAAGGCAGGUCUCUGGGCCACUACUGACGCUGAGAAGCGAAAGCAUGGGGAGCGAACAGG
rnacentral:rRNA from 1 species